UACGGGGGGGGUAAGCGUUGUUCGGAAUUACUGGGCGUAAAGGGCUCGUAGGCGGCCAACUAAGUCAUACGUGAAAUCCCUCAGCUUAACUGGGGAACUGCGUGUGAUACUGGAUGGCUUGGAUUUGGGAGAGGGAUGCGGAAUUCCAGGUGUAGCGGUGAAAUGCGUAGAUAUCAGGAGGAACACCGGUGGCGAAAGCGCGAGACUGGGCCAUAACUGACGCUGAGGAACGAAAGCCAGGGGAGCGAAAGGG
rnacentral:rRNA from 1 species